UUGAGUUCCUCGUAAAAAUUUCCGUUCCGUCAAAAAGCGUCGCAGAUGGUAGGAGCGGACGCCUCCUUCGGGGGGACUGCCUGCACCAAUGCUUCUUGCGAUCGUCCAUACGAAACGGAGACGAAUCUUUUAGGACGAUGGGAUUUGGGUGCGGUGCCAGUCGUGUUCUUUUCGGUUUGACCCUUCGCGGCGGGCCGAGUGGCUGGGACCGCAAUUUCCCGUUGUACAG
rnacentral:sRNA from 1 species